CUUGAAAAAGGGAGUUCAAGAAGAGCUUCGAAGAAGCUUUCUUGAUGGAGGGGAGUGGCAGACGGGUGAGUAACGCGUGGGAACAUACCCUUAUCUUCGGAACAACUCCGGGAAACUGGAGCUAAUACCGAAUGUGCCCUUAGGGGGAAAGAUUUAUCGGAUAAGGAUUGGCCCGCGUUGGAUUAGCUAGUUGGUGGGGUAAAGGCCUACCAAGGCGACGCUCCAUAGCUGGUCUGAGGGGAUGAUCAGCCACACUGGGACUGAGACACGGCCCAAACUCCUACGGGAGGCAGCAGUGGGGAAUAUUGGACAAUGGGCGCAAGCCUGAUCCAGCCAUGCCGCGUGAGUGAUGAAGGCCUUAGGGUUGUAAAGCUCUUUCACCGGAGAAGAUAAUGACGGUAUCCGGAGAAGAAGCCCCGGCUAACUUCGUGCCAGCCGCCGCCGUAACAC
rnacentral:rRNA from 1 species